UACGUAGGGGGCGAGCGUUAUCCGGAUUUACUGGGUGUAAAGGGUGCGCAGGCGGCUUGGUAAGUCAGAAGUGAAAUUUCGGGGCUCAACCCCGGAGCUGCUUCUGAAACUGCCGAGCUAGAGUGUGGGAGAGGAAAGUGGAAUUCCGAGUGUAGCGGUGAAAUGCGUAGAGAUUCGGAGGAACACCAGUAGCGAAGGCGGCUUUCUGGACCGUAACUGACGCUGAGACGCGAAAGCGUGGGGAGCAAACAGGAUUAGAUACCCGGGUAGUCCCUGAG
rnacentral:rRNA from 1 species